rnacentral:lncRNA from 1 species
GAAAACAGGGAAACUGAAUUUUGACUUUGAACAUGAAAAAUUGUAAUGGUUGCCCGUCAUUUGCAUGACAAUUGGUGAUAAUUCUAAUGAGAAGAUUUACGUAAAUAAGAGUACAAAGAAGAAUUCUGAAAAAUUGUGUUUUUCACUUGUGCAUUUUGACUUUACCUCCUUUUUUGGUAGAUCUCAUUUGAAUCAGUCUGUGCACAAGAAAUACUUGGGUUAUGCUCAUGGCUUGAAGCCAGAUGAAGUGUGGCAAUAGCAUAUGAAUUUGAAUGGUUGAUAUAAAUGUUGCAACAUUAAGUUUUCUUGCAAUAG